CAGGCUUAACACAUGCAAGUCGAGGGGCAGCAUGGUCUUAGCUUGCUAAGGCCGAUGGCGACCGGCGCACGGGUGAGUAACACGUAUCCAACCUGCCGUCUACUCUUGGACAGCCUUCUGAAAGGAAGAUUAAUACAAGAUGGCAUCAUGAGUCCACAUGUUCACAUGAUUAAAGGUAUUCCGGUAGACGAUGGGGAUGCGUUCCAUUAGAUAGUAGGCGGGGUAACGGCCCACCUAGUCUUCGAUGGAUAGGGGUUCUGAGAGGAAGGUCCCCCACAUUGGAACUGAGACACGGUCCAAACUCCUACGGGAGGCAGCAGUGAGGAAUAUUGGUCAAUGGGCGAGAGCCUGAACCAGCCAAGUAGCGUGAAGGAUGACUGCCCUAUGGGUUGUAAACUUCUUUUAUAAAGGAAUAAAGUCGGGUAUGCAUACCCGUUUGCAUGUACUUUAUGAAUAAGGAUCGGCUAACUCCGUGCCAGCAGCCGCGGUAAUACGGAGGAUCCGAGCGUUAUCCGGAUUUAUUGGGUUUAAAGGGAGCGUAGAUGGAUGUUUAAGUCAGUUGUGAAAGUUUGCGGCUCAACCGUAAAAUUGCAGUUGAUACUGGAUAUCUUGAGUGCAGUUGAGGCAGGCGGAAUUCGUGGUGUAGCGGUGAAAUGCUUAGAUAUCACGAAGAACUCCGAUUGCGAAGGCAGCCUGCUAAGCUGCAACUGACAUUGAGGCUCGAAAGUGUGGGUAUCAAACAGGAUUAGAUACCCUGGUAGUCCACACGGUAAACGAUGAAUACUCGCUGUUUGCGAUAUACUGCAAGCGGCCAAGCGAAAGCGUUAAGUAUUCCACCUGGGGAGUACGCCGGCAACGGUGAAACUCAAAGGAAUUGACGGGGGCCCGCACAAGCGGAGGAACAUGUGGUUUAAUUCGAUGAUACGCGAGGAACCUUACCCGGGCUUAAAUUGCAGAUGAAUUACGGUGAAAGCCGUAAGCCGCAAGGCAUCUGUGAAGGUGCUGCAUGGUUGUCGUCAGCUCGUGCCGUGAGGUGUCGGCUUAAGUGCCAUAACGAGCGCAACCCUUGUUGUCAGUUACUAACAGGUUCUGCUGAGGACUCUGACAAGACUGCCAUCGUAAGAUGUGAGGAAGGUGGGGAUGACGUCAAAUCAGCACGGCCCUUACGUCCGGGGCUACACACGUGUUACAAUGGGGGGUACAGAGGGCCGCUACCACGCGAGUGGAUGCCAAUCCCAAAAACCUCUCUCAGUUCGGACUGGAGUCUGCAACCCGACUCCACGAAGCUGGAUUCGCUAGUAAUCGCGCAUCAGCCACGGCGCGGUGAAUACGUUCCCGGGCCUUGUACACACCGCCCGUCAAGCCAUGGGAGCCGGGGGUACCUGAAGUGCGUAACCGCGAGGAGCGCCCUAGGGUAAAACUGGUGACUGGGGCUA
rnacentral:rRNA from 1 species